rnacentral:tRNA from 1 species
GGCUUGUGGCUCACCGGAAGAGUUCUUGCCUAGCAUGUUGGAGGCCCUGGGUUCAAUCCUCAGCACCA